rnacentral:misc_RNA from 1 species
GCAAACUUGGUCAUUUAGAGGAAGUAAAAGUCGUAACAAGGUUUCCGUAGGUGAACCUGCGGAAGGAUCAUUAUUGAAUAAAUUUGGUUGGGUUGUUGCUGGCUCUGAAAAGCAUGUGCACACCUAAUCCAUUUUUUCCAACCACCUGUGCACCAUUGUAUAGACCGCAAGACACUGUCGAGACGAUUGUUCUCGGAUUUUUGUAUUGGAAUUGCUGUGUGAAAUAUUUCAUUAUAGCUUUUCUUGUCUUCAGGUUUAUAUUUUUAUUACACCCCAUAAGAAUGUAUCUGAAUGUAUUGAAUAGGCCACCGUGCCUCUAAACAUAUAUACAACUUUCAACAACGGAUCUCUUGGCUCUCGCAUCGAUGAAGAACGCAGC